UAUCACAGCCAGCUUUGAGGA
rnacentral:miRNA from 5 species